GAGAGGGUUCUUUUCAGUGGAACUUCAGGAGCAAUAUCUUCUACCUCCAGACUCCCUUGUAGGUGCUUGAAGGAGUUGAGAAAGAUUUUCAGUGGAUAUACUUUCAGCCAUUAUCUUCAGCCCUGAGUCUUGAUCUAGGCUGUACAGAGGUUUGUAUCCUCAGAUUUGUAGUCCCCUUUCUUCAAUUUCCCUGGAGAGUGAGUGUCAAGUCUCUGGCUGCCUGAGGUACUUUCUGAUGGAUGGAGUUGUGUGUGUGCGGGGCAGGAGGCAGAGCAGCACUGUGACAUAAACUUUCAACUUACCCUUCUUGUUCUUGUCUUUCUCUCUUCUCAUUGCUGCCCACUGCUGUGCUAGAGCCUCUCUUUUAGUUUUCAUGGUACGUUGUCUCUAUGACACCCCCCCCCCGACCAUCGUCUCUUUUCCACGUAGUUCUAAAAUCAUAGCAUCUUCCUCAUGCACACCAUUGGAUCUAAUGUACAUGUUUUUUAAGAAGAGACCUUCAAUCCUUAGCAAGGUUUGCAGUGACCAAAGAGACAAUGGAAUUGUUCCUUUUGGUCAGAGAAAAUUACCCCACAUUUUUUGGUUGACUUCACAUGCUAUUCAUAAUCAUGCAUAAAAACAUUAAAAAAUACACAUAUAAAUGAAAGGAAGUCAUUCAUAGCUCUGUCACAUAUUUGGUAUAUGUUCUAGAUAAAAAAAAGUACCUAUCUGUCCAUAAAUAAUUUCCAUCUAUAGUAGUGAGUAUGCUCUAGUUAUUUAUCUGCAACAAAUAUUUUCUUCAGUUGUUAAUAAGAGGGGGAAUAUUUCUGGCUCAGGAACUAUGGGCCCACAUCCUAUUUUAUUAUAUCCACCCUUAAUUUUUCGUGUUUUGAGUCUGUCUAAUACUCUGCUGUUUUAGACAAUAUUUUAAAGGACAUACUGUCCACAAUUUUGUUUGUUGGGGAGAAUUCUCAUGCCAGCGUUCCAGAGGCUCUCUGAUUAUUGCUGGACAGGGAGCAGAAACGAAGCAAAGGGAAGGGCUGUGUGGACCAUGCUGGGGACCAGGCA
rnacentral:lncRNA from 1 species